UACGUAGGGGGCAAGCGUUGUCCGGAAUCAUUGGGCGUAAAGCGCGUGUAGGCGGCCUGGAAAGUCUGAUGUGAAAUCCUGGGGCUCAACCCCAGACUGUCAUUGGAAACUUUCAGGCUUGAGUCCGGAAGAGGAGAGUGGAAUUCCUGGUGUAGCGGUGAAAUGCGCAGAUAUCAGGAGGAACACCAAUGGCGAAGGCAGCUCUCUGGUACGUGACUGACGCUGAGACGCGAAAGCGUGGGGAGCGAACAGG
rnacentral:rRNA from 1 species